rnacentral:sRNA from 1 species
UUUUUGCGCUAGGGAUUGCAGUGAAAAGCCCGGAAUGACCAGCGGGAAUGAGGACUUGAAGCGUAAAGCCCGACCCGCA